rnacentral:tRNA from 1 species
UCAGAAAAAAGACUUCAAACUUUUCAAUAAUCUCCAAAAUUAUUAUUUUUAAUAAACUAUUUUCUG